rnacentral:rRNA from 1 species
UACGUAGGGUCCGAGCGUUGUCCGGAAUUAUUGGGCGUAAAGGGCUCGUAGGCGGUUGGUCACGUCGGGAGUGAAAACUCAGGGCUCAACCCUGAGCGUGCUUCCGAUACGGGCCGACUAGAGGUAUGCAGGGGAGAACGGAAUUCCUGGUGUAGCGGUGGAAUGCGCAGAUAUCAGGAGGAACACCGGUGGCGAAGGCGGUUCUCUGGGACGGUACUGACGCUGAGACGCGAAAGCGUGGGGAGCAAACAGG